rnacentral:rRNA from 1 species
CUACGGGCGGCUCCAGUGAGGAAUAUUGCACAAUGGGGGGAACCCUGAUGCAGCAACGCCGCGUGGAGGAUGACGCAUUUCGGUGUGUAAACUCCUUUUAUAUGUCAAGAAAAUGACGGUAGCAUAUGAAUAAGCACCGGCUAACUCCGUGCCAGCAGCCGCGAUAAUACGGAGGGUGCAAGCGUUACUCGGAAUCACUGGGCGUAAAGGACGCGUAGGCGGGUUGGAAAGUCAGGUGUGAAAUCCUACAGCUUAACUGUAGAACUGCACUUGAAACUUCUAAUCUAGAGUAUGGGAGGGGGAGAUGGAAUUAGUGGUGUAGGGGUAAAAUCCGUAGAUAUCACUAGGAAUACCUAAAGCGAAGGCGAUCUCCCGGAACAUUACUGACGCUAAGGCGUGAAAGCGUGGGGGGCAAACAGGAUUAGAUACCCUGGUAGUC